rnacentral:lncRNA from 1 species
GCCCAGGAGGGUGGCCGGCCGCGGGAGGAGGACUUGGGGUCGGGCUGCUGCAGCUGGGUGGCCAGCGCCGCGGCGGCCCCUCCCCCGCUCUCCCUGGCCGCCGCCCCCUCCUCCUCCCGUCCUCCUCCUCCUCUCCCUCCUCCCGGUCCCCCAUCCUCCUCCCGGCCCCCGGCAGCUGCGGCUCGGGGAGCAGCCGGCGGCGCCGCGGCCGCGCAGCCUUUGUCUCGGGCCGCCGGGCGCGCGGGGCCCAGCGCAGGCAGGCCACGCGGGGACGGAGGAGGCAGAGAGGACGGGCUGUGAUGGAGAAACGGGAGAGGAGCCGGCCAGGCGCCACCGUCACCACCAUCACCAACCACCACCACCAUCACCAUCACUGACUGUCGCCCAUCCCAGCUCCCCUGCCUCACCUCCCAUCUCAUAUCCCUGUGCAGUGCCAACUUUAUCAGAUCAUCUCUUUUUCACUGGGUACUACUUUGGAAAAGCGACAGAGUGCGCCAAGUCAGGAAUAAGUACAUCCGCUGUGGGACAUUUAUCUUCCCCUUUCUAUUUAGCUACCUCAAUUUUCUCAUCAGGAAAGGGGGCACAAUGGCAUUUCAUUCCUCUAAAUCACACUGAGAUGGCUGGGUUGCUUCCAGUUUUUCCAGUCCUGGCACUGGACGGUUAUACAUGCUUGGUGAUGAUGAUGAUAAAGUAAUGUCUUCAUUAAAUUGGACAGUUGGGAGUUUUCAGACUUACUCUUCUUUGACUUCUGAGUGUCAGUAUACCAGUAGCAAAUAGAAACAUAAGGAAAGUGAAACUUUGGCUAACAUAAUACCAAGAAUAGAUGCAAAACAGGCACUUUUGUAGGGACAUCACCCAAGAGACCUGCAGGCAAUGGUAUUCAUCUGCAGUGUAGAAAGCACCCCAUCAGUGCCAAGUGGCUGUGGGAGCUCCUCAAUCUGGAUGCACAGUUUCCCGUGGGGUUUUCACCCUACCUAAAGAAUGCUUUAAUUGCUGUUUUUCAAAAUUGUCUUUCACCAGGCCCCAGGGACGGCUGACCAUUCAGAACAAACACAGGGACAGAGCCCCAGGGCUGUUGGGAAGCCCAGCACCAGAGGGCAUGAACCUUCUUAGGAGAAGUAAAACUUACAAAAAACAAGCUCUUAAACCCUCCGCCUUUUCCCCUAUUGGUUAGAAAGUGAAUCUUAAACUGUGUUUUAUGUUCUAGUCUAAUAAAAGACAGCUAGA